UUUCGGGAAAUUUAUUGUAAAUUUUACACUAAAUUCGUAAAUUUACGUUAAGUAAUUAUGGAUUUCAUAUACUAAGUUUUUUUUUUGCAAUCUAGUUACGAUCGUAUUUCUUAUGGAUCUCUGAUAUGUAUAAAUUUAUAGAUCAUAUAUAAAUUUACAGAUUGUGUUUCGUCGACUCGGCCAAGAUGAGUACGUCAUCAUUACAUUCGUUGUACAUAUUUUAAGUUAUAAACUGGAUCCGAAAUCAAUUGGAACGGCCAGAGACCUACCUGUUCUGACAUGCCCAAUUUGAGAAUUUGUUGCGUCUAUAUCGGCUGACUGAUUUUGUGAAAAAAUAUCAAAUCAUACCAAAGGAAAAAUUGGAUGAUGGAUCGACGAAUCCAAGAUUUGAAAAAUGAAAAGAAAAGAACUGGGUAGUCCUCGACUGGAUACAAGCAUCUGUUGGUCCUCCGAUGUAUUCACUUGUUAUGAACCAUGAAUUAUGACGAGUUGCUCGAGAGUGAGAACAAGGGAUGGAGACAAAUGAUUUAGAAUGAUUAAGACUGAAUGUGAUUAUCU
rnacentral:lncRNA from 1 species